rnacentral:misc_RNA from 1 species
GAUGAAGAACGCAGCGAAAUGCGAUAAGUAAUGUGAAUUGCAGAAUUCAGUGAAUCAUCGAAUCUUUGAACGCAUCUUGCGCUCCUUGGUAUUCUGAGGAGCAUGCCUGUUUGAGUGUCAUUAAAUUCUCAACUACACUGACUUUGAAUUGGUGUGGCUUGGAUUUGGGGGGAAAAUUGUUGUGGGCUUUUUGUAUAGUCUGCUCCCCUGAAAUUGAUUAGCGGUACCUUUGUGGAACUGUCUACAGGUGUGAUAAUUAUCUACAUCUUAGACAUCUGCUGGAAUGCUGCUUUCUAAACCUUACUUGUAUUGACAAUCUUGACCUCAAAUCAGGUAGGACUACCCGCUGAGCUUAAGCAUAUCAAUAAGCGGAGGA